GACGGAGGAUGCAAGUGUUAUUCGGAUUCAUUGGGCGUAAAGGGUGCGUAGGCGGUCGUGCAAGUCGGAUGUGAAAUCUCAGGGCUCAACCCUGAAACUGCAUUCGAUACUGCGCGGCUAGAGUGCUGGAGGGGAGACUGGAAUUUACGGUGUAGCAGUGAAAUGCGUAGAUAUCGUAAGGAAGACCAGUGGCGAAGGCGAGUCUCUGGACAGCAACUGACGCUGAGGCACGAAGGCCAGGGGAGCAAACGGG
rnacentral:rRNA from 1 species